rnacentral:rRNA from 1 species
CAUGCAAGUCGAACGGAAAGGCCCUUCGGGGUACUCGAGUGGCGAACGGGUGAGUAACACGUGGGUGAUCUGCCCUGCACUUUGGGAUAAGCCUGGGAAACUGGGUCUAAUACCGGAUAGGACCAUGGCAUUCAUGUGCUGUGGUGGAAAGCUUUUGCGGUGUGGGAUGGGCCCGCGGCCUAUCAGCUUGUUGGUGGGGUAAUGGCCUACCAAGGCGACGACGGGUAGCCGGCCUGAGAGGGUGACCGGCCACACUGGGACUGAGAUACGGCCCAGACUCCUACGGGAGGCAGCAGUGGGGAAUAUUGCACAAUGGGCGCAAGCCUGAUGCAGCGACGCCGCGUGAGGGAUGACGGCCUUCGGGUUGUAAACCUCUUUCGCUCACGACGAAGCGCAAGUGACGGUAGUGAGAGAAGAAGGACCGGCCAACUACGUGCCAGCAGCCGCGGUAAUACGUAGGGUGCGAGCGUUGUCCGGAAUUACUGGGCGUAAAGAGCUCGUAGGUGGUUUGUCGCGUUGUUCGUGAAAACUCACA